GACUCUCACACCUGCACUGAGGCCCUGCCCUCUCUGUAGGUGUCCAACCCCAGAGCUCCCUAUAUAGAAGGAGGACAUGCAAAUAGGGGCCCCUCUGCUGAUGAAAACCAGCCCAGCCCUGACCCUGCAGCUCAGGGACAGGAGCCCCAGCCCCGGGAUCCCCAGGUGUCCCCAUUCCGUGAUCAGGACUGAACACAGACGACACACCAUGGAGUUUGGGCUCAGCUGGGUUUUCCUUGUGGCUAUUUUAAGAGGUGUCCAGUGUGAGGUGCAGCUGGUGGAGUCUGGGGGAGGUUUGGUGCAGCCUGGGAGGUCUCUGCGACUCUCCUGUGCAGCCUCUGGAUUCACCUUCAGUAGCUACUGGAUGCACUGGGUCCGCCAGGCUCCAGGGAAGGGGCUGGAGUGGGUCUCAGCCAUUAGUGGUGAUGGUAGUAGUUACAUAUACUAUGCCGACUCCGUGAAGGGCCGAUUCACCAUCUCCAGAGACAACUCCAAGAACACUCUGUUUCUGCAAAUGAGCAGCCUGAGAGCCGAGGACACGGCCGUGUAUUACUGUGCGAGGGACACAGUGAAGGGAAGUCAGUGUGAGCCCAGACACAAACCUCCCUACACGGGACAGGGGUUGGGCUGCAGGGGGCGCUCAGGACACACUGAGCACAGGGACCAGCCCCAGUAG